rnacentral:rRNA from 1 species
CGCUGGCGGCGCGUCUUAAGCAUGCAAGUCGAACGGCAAGGCAGGUGCUUGCACCUGCCCUAGAGUGGCGGACUGGUGAGUAACACGUGGGUGACAUGCCUUUAGUUGGGGAUAGCUACUAGAAAUAGUAGAUAAUACCGAAUGUGAUCAAUAUUUAUAGAUGAUGUUGAGGAAAGGAGCUAAGGCUUCGCUAAAAGAUUGGCCCGCGGCCCAUUAGCUAGUUGGUAGGGUAAAGGCUUACCAAGGCGAUGAUGGGUAUCCGGCCUGAGAGGGUGAUCGGACACAUUGGGACUGAGAUACGGCCCAGACUCCUACGGGAGGCAGCAGCUAAGAAUAUUCCACAAUGGACGAAAGUCUGAUGGAGCGACGCCGCGUGGAUGAUGAAAGGCCGAAAGGUUGUAAAAUCCUUUUACACUGGAGGAAUAAGCAGAGUAGGGAAUGACUCUGUGAUGACUGUACAGUUUGAAUAAGCAACGGCUAAUUACGUGCCAGCCGCGGC